UACGUAGGGGGCUAGCGUUGUCCGGAAUCAUUGGGCGUAAAGCGCGUGUAGGCGGUCCGGUAAGUCCGCUGUGAAAGUCGGGGGCUCAACCCUCGGAUGCCGUUGGAUACUGUCGGGCUUGAGUACGGAAGAGGCGAGUGGAAUUCCUGGUGUAGCGGUGAAAUGCGCAGAUAUCAGGAGGAACACCAAUUGCGAAGGCAGCUCGCUGGGACGUUACUGACGCUGAGACGCGAAAGCGUGGGGAGCAAACAGG
rnacentral:rRNA from 1 species